GAUCUCAAGAUGGUCACAGCUCACUUUAGCCUUUACCUGUAACCACUUGAAGACACCAUUGGAAUCUAAAGGCUGAUUGGUUAGUCUUUACCCCACAGGUUCUCACUUCCAGAAAGAUCUGGAUACCUGGUUUAUUGGCUCUGUCUCUCCUUCUUCUUCGAGUUUCAGAGUAUUCUUGUGCAUUACUCUUGUGUUGCUGUGAUGAAUUCCCGAGGGAACAACUUAAAGGGAAGAUUUUAAAUUUUGGUUCAUGGGUUCAGGUGGUUCAGGUGGUUCAUCAGCUCAUGGUUCCACUGAUUCUAGAUCGGUGAUGAUGGAGGAGCAUGUGGCAGAGGCGGCUUUACUUCAUGGCAGUUAGGGAGCAGAGCAAGCAAGAAAGGGACCAGGCAUAACUUUGAACUAUGUUCCCAGUGGCCUACUUCUUCCUACUAAACCUAUCUCCUAAAGAUUUUAUAAUGUCCUCAAAUAACAAUGCCAGAUAGAGACCAAUUAUCAACACAUGAGCCUGUGAGGAACAUUCAUAUUCAACGAAGUUCCAUAAGCAGAAGAAUAUUCCGUGGGGAGCCUGACCCAAAGCAAUCAUGUUGGGUUCUGCAGGUGUGGAUCCUAUGAAAACUACUUCAAGGUGAAUAAUUGCAUCACAUUGAAAACAGAUAAAUAUUUUUUUCUUUGUUUGAAGAUGGAGGCAGUGGAGUAGGGAGGUGUGCGUACUGCACUUACGAAAGCAUCUAUUUCUCUAAGUUUUGGGCUUCUCUUCCAUUAGGUAGAACUUCAAGUACAAUAUUGAAGAGGUAUGGAAAGAGUGGACAGCCUUGUCUUGUCCCUGAUUUUAGAGGAAUUGCAUUGAGUUUCUCUCCAUUUAAUUUGAUGUUGGCUGCUGGCUUGCUCUAUAUUGCUUUUAUUAUGUUACGGUAUGUUCCUGUUAUCCCUAGUUUCUCCAAGACCUUUAUCAUGAUGGGCCCCCUUCCCUUUGUAAUAAAAGUUCUCACUUAAGUUCUGUCUGCCUGGCAUGUUUGUCCCUUCGCCUCAGGCACCCUUACCUGUCAUGGAAUCCAC
rnacentral:lncRNA from 1 species